UCCCAGACUCCUACGGGAGGCAGCAGUGAGGAAUUUUGGUCAAUGGCCGGAAGGCUGAACCAGCCAAGCCGCGUGAAGGACGAAGGUGCCAAGCAUUGUAAACUUCUUUUGUCAAGGGACAAAAUCAGGCUCGAGAGCCUGACCGAGGGUACUUGAAGAAAAAGCAUCGGCUAACUCCGUGCCAGCAGCCGCGGUAAUACGUAGGGGGCAAGCGUUAUCCGGAUUUACUGGGUGUAAAGGGAGCGUAGACGGUAUGGCAAGUCUGAUGUGAAAACCCGGGGCUCAACCCCGGGACUGCAUUGGAAACUGUCGGACUAGAGUGUCGGAGAGGCAAGUGGAAUUCCUAGUGUAGCGGUGAAAUGCGUAGAUAUUAGGAGGAACACCAGUGGCGAAGGCGGCUUGCUGGACGAUGACUGACGUUGAGGCUCGAAAGCGUGGGGAGCAAACAGGAUUAGAUACCCCCGUAC
rnacentral:rRNA from 1 species